rnacentral:sRNA from 1 species
GCUUGGUGUGGUGGCGCACACCUGUAAUCCCAGUGGCUCUGGGGGCUGAGGCAGGAGGAUUACAAGUUCAAGGCCAGCCUCACAGCAGUUUAGCAAGGCCCCAAACAAUUUAGUGAGACUUUGUCUCAA